AACGAACGCUGGCGGCAUGCCUAACACAUGCAAGUCGAACGAGACCUUCGGGUCUAGUGGCGCACGGGUGCGUAACGCGUGGGAACCUGCCCUUAGGUUCGGAAUAACUCCCCGAAAGGGGUGCUAAUACCGGAUAAUGUCUUCGGACCAAAGAUUUAUCGCCUUUGGAUGGGCCCGCGUUGGAUUAGCUAGUUGGUAGGGUAAAAGCCUACCAAGGCGACGAUCCAUAGCUGGUCUGAGAGGAUGAUCAGCCACACUGGGACUGAGACACGGCCCAGACUCCUACGGGAGGCAGCAGUGGGGAAUAUUGGACAAUGGGCGAAGGCCUGAUCCAGCAAUGCCGCGUGAGUGAUGAAGGCGUUAGGGUUGUAAAGCUCUUUUACCCGGGAUGAUAAUGACAGUACCGGGAGAAUAAGCUCCGGCUAACUCCGUG
rnacentral:rRNA from 1 species